AUGCCGACCAACGGUGAGGCCCCAGCAGCGGAGACGGCGGCACCGGCGGGACCGUCGUCGCUUGGAUGGGGAUGGGGUUCAUGUCCUGCGCUGUACGUGUCCUACGGCUUGUCCGCCCUCAAAGGCCGGCAACCGGAGCUGACGGGCGCCCUGGCUGCCGUGCCGUCGUUCACGGAGCUGUCGCCGCCCAUGGGGCUCGACUACUUCGGGGUCUUCGACGGCCACUCGGGCGCGGCCGUCGCCAAUUACCUGACGGAGCGGCUGCACGGCGCCAUCGCGGACCAGAUCUUGCGCGAGCUGCUCGCCGAGGCCCCGCGGUUCCUCCACGGGCCGCAGGGAGACGUGGAUGGAUGGUGGAGGACGGCCAUGGCGGACGCGUUCCAGACAGUGGACGCGGAGCUGCUGGAGGGAGCAAGCGGUGUGGACGCGUCGGUCGCCGGCGCGACGGCUCUCGUGGCGCUGGUCCUGGAGGAGUACGUGGUGCUCGCCAACUGCGGCAUCUCCAGGGCCGUCAUCUCCCGCGGCGGCGAGAUCUUGCAGCUCACCUCCGAGCACCGGCCAAACAGGCCAGAUGAGAAGCAGCGUGUGGAAAACGGCGGGGGACGCAUGGACGAAUCCACCAACACAGUCGACGAGUUUCUGCCAACCUCCCGCGCAUUUGGGAGCUAUCUGUACAAGCAGUACGUGAUCGCGGAGCCCGAGGUGACCGCGGUGGGUCGCGAUCCGCGGGACGAGUUCCUGAUCCUGGCCACGGCCGGGCUCUGGGACAGCGUCUCGCCGGUGGAGGCGUGCCGCGUGGUGGAGGGCAAGCUGCGCAGCAGGUCGCGGAGCGCCAUGGAGUGGGGGAAGGCGGCGGACAACAACACGGUCUCGGCAACCAUGCUCGCCAAGGAGCUGGCCCAGCACGCGGUCCGCGCAGGCAGCACGGGCAACAUGUUGAUGCUGAGUACCUCGUCCCCGACCACCACCAUGGACAAUGUCUUCGUGGAGCCCGUGUCGCUCCCGACCGCCGUCGUCUGUGGAGGAAGAACGGGCGCCACCCAUCGCUACUGCCAUCGGCGUGCACAACUUGGUCGACAAAAUGUCCCAAAGAUCAAAGACAUGGAGGAGCGGACGGCAGCAGAACAAUGGAGGGCUGUGACCAGGGACAGGUCGGCGGCGGCUGAUGAGAGGAAGGUGGCGACUGAGGAGGGGAAGGUGGGGCGGCACGAUCCCUCCAGCCUCUCCGACAAGAUCUACGUCGUCAUCCGCCCAAGCGGCAGCGUCCUCGCCAUGGCGCAGCUCCCGUAUCCAGAAGGUGUAUGA
rnacentral:rRNA from 1 species